rnacentral:lncRNA from 1 species
AACUAGUAACCGACCCGUGCGAUGCACGGGUUUGUAGAAACUGCAUUUAUAUAACAAUCAUGGUUGUUGCCAACCAUGGAUGAUAUGGAUCAAAUUAUGCUAGCAAGAAGCAUAUGGAUAUUAAUCAAAUUGGUAACAUCAUUGAACAAACAAAAAGCAUUAGGGAUUAAAAGUUAAAUAGUAGUAAUUAUGGUACAUGUCCUUACAUUCAUUACCAAAAUGGUCCUUAAAAGAGUAUGACCUUGAUAUUGAGAUCCACUAAUGGCAAAAAGGAUGGAAAUUAAAUAUUGUUUGGUACAUUAUAGCAUAAGUUACAAAACAGNN